rnacentral:rRNA from 1 species
ACCUACGGGGGGCAGCAGUAGGGAAUUUUCGUCAAUGGGCGCAAGCCUGAACGAGCAAUGCCGCGUGAACGGGGAAGGUCUUCGGAUCGUAAAGUUCUGUUGAAGGGGAAAAAGAGCGGAGAGAGGAAAUGGUCUCCGAUUGAUAUUACCCUUCGAGGAAGUCACGGCUAACUACGUGCCAGCAGCCGCGGUAAUACGUAGGUGGCGAGCGUUAUCCGGAAUGAUUGGGCGUAAAGGGUGCGUAGGCGGCCUGCUAAGUCUGGAGUGAAAGGUACCGGCUCAACCGGUACAGGCUCUGGAAACUG